AACGAACGCUGGCGGCAUGCCUAACACAUGCAAGUCGAACGAGACCUUCGGGUCUAGUGGCGCACGGGUGCGUAACGCGUGGGAACCUGCCCUUAGGUUCGGAAUAACUCCCCGAAAGGGGUGCUAAUACCGGAUAAUGUCUUCGGACCAAAGAUUUAUCGCCUUUGGAUGGGCCCGCGUUGGAUUAGCUAGUUGGUAGGGUAAAAGCCUACCAAGGCGACGAUCCAUAGCUGGUCUGAGAGGAUGAUCAGCCACAAUGGGACUGAGACACGGACCAGACUGCUACGGGAGGCAGGAGUAGGGAAUAUUGGACAAUGGGGGAAAGCCUGAUACAGCAAUGCCGGGUGAGUGAUGAAGGCCUUAGGGUUGUAAAGCUCUUUUACCCGGGAUGAUAAUGACAGUACCGGGAGAAGAAGCACCGGCUAACUCCGUG
rnacentral:rRNA from 1 species